rnacentral:lncRNA from 1 species
ACCUGCCAUCUCAGCAUCCCCAGGCACAUGUGAAAAGCUCCCACCCUGGAGGCCGGUCACCGAGGGCCUUUGAGGGGAAACGAGUUUCCAAAGGCCAGAGCUGCAAGUUUUACAAACACAGCUGCAGCCAAGCACUCAGGUGACCAGUUAUCUGCCGCUGCAGCUGGACCAGUUUGAUUGUGGUGACAGUAAAGCCAGGCUUGGCCUUUCCUCCACCAUCUGGAGCUUUGCAGCCAACAGUGAUUCUGGAAACCAGUGGCCACUCUUCUAAGUUUUUGUCUCAUCAGAAUCCACUUCUGC